CAUGCAGCUACAUUGAAAUCCUACCUGGAUGAAGAGAGUACAAACUCCACUUUGCCUUGGUGCUCAUAAAAAUGAUACCUGAAUGGUCAAAGCAAAAGCCUAUGGAUCCAUAUCCCCCCUGUGCAGGAUUCUAUAACCACAUAGACCCAGAGAAGAGAGCAGCUGCCUGCUUUACCCAGUUUUAUUUCCUGUAGGAUAGAGGUUGUGUAAUGAGUCUGGAAAAAGGGAGAAAUGGCUCCAAUUGCUUCAAAGGAGAGUUUUCCACCUGCCUGCAGAAAGGAAGAGGCUGCACAGAGAUCAUUGUGCAUGGCUCACCAUGGAGUCCAUCGCAUGAGGACAACAUAUGGUUAUUUCCUACCAGGACCUGGCUUCCAACAAAAGUGAAGAGGUAGAAAGUGACUGCUGGAUUUCCUGGAUGCAAGAGGGAUGAAGAAGGUGGUGAUGGAGAAGCCCUGCAGUCUGUGCACUGGCCACCACAGCUCAGGCACACACUGCACCUUUGGAAGGAUCACAACCUCGGGCACUCUUCUGCUGCAGUCCAGUGUCAGAAACUUGUCCUUCAAAAGUCACCCACUGAGGAAAGCAGAUUCUUCUGCAGGAUGUGAAGGGGAAACAUGAGGGAAGGAUUCCUGGGUACCAGAGAGAUCUGCUAUUCAGAUUGCCUGCUAACACUGGGCUUGAUUAAUGGAAACCAAGCAUUUUGAAGGAUACCCUCCAGCCUUGCCUUUCCCUUUCCAUGUUCCCUUGGCAGAAAUCAGGGAUUUGAAAGCUGCAAUACAACAGCAUCAUCUUUCCAUUUUGUGCUCAUCUUCACCAUCACCAGAGUCUCCGGUGCCAUCUAUGUCUCCGUCCUCAGCACUGCUAUCCAGGGGAGCCCCACCAAAGCUGUCCAGAGCCUCUUCGGCGUCGCGGUGCUGCCGGGAGAUUUCAAAACCCCCCUGGUUCCUGUCUUGCAAGGAUCUUGAAGAACAGCAAGAAGAUGGUUGUGUGGAAAAGAAUUAAGAGAGGUCACUCACUGUUCUGAUGACACGGGAAGAGUCACUGGGAUCACCUUUGUUGCCCUAUACUUCAGCAUUCUCAGGGCAAUCAUGUACAAUAAAAGAACCAAACUAAAAAAAGGCCACAGGCAAUGGUCAUGGAGUGCUUGAAGGGCAUUUGCCUUCCCUCAUCACAAAAUUGAAGGGAGUCAGCAGAAUGGUUCAAGAAGGAGCAGAUGGAAACAGCUGCCAACAGAUGAGUACUGGAAUGGAUUCAAGCCACACUACUUGCUGGAACUUGAGAGUUUGUGAUGGCCUGAGCUUUCCCAAGCACAGGUGGUGUCUGAAGACUGUGAAUAUCUUUGCUGUUUCUGCACCAACAAACCUUACACUAUGGAUAAAGAGGAUAAAACAACAUGGAGUUCACCAAGUAAUGAUUUCAGGAAGAAAUGUAGUUAAUAUUUUUCCCAGCAGAUGUGGCUGUUGGACCAGAAAAGGC